rnacentral:misc_RNA from 1 species
CAGAGAAAUUGCCCUUUGGGGUAGAUCUCCCACCCUUUGUUUACAUUACCUUUGUUGCUUUGGCAGGCCCGUCUCUUGACCACCGGCUCAGGCUGGUUCGCGCCUGCCAGAGGACCCUAAACUCUUGAUAUUUGUGCUGUCUGAGUAAUAUAUAAAAAGUUAA